CGCUGCUCAGAGCAAACCCGUCGAAAGACGGUGACGCAGAGUCACGGGGCUACCGCGGAUCGUCCGCCAUGCUCGCCGGGCCGCCAGC
rnacentral:ncRNA from 1 species